CAGCCGCCGCGGGAAUACGAAGGGUGCAAGCGUUACUCGGAAUUACUGGGCGUAAAGCGUGUGUAGGUGGUUGUUUAAGUCUGUCGUGAAAGCCCUGGGCUCAACCUGGGAAUUGCGAUGGAUACUGGGCGACUAGAGUGCGGUAGAGGAUAGUGGAAUUUCCGGUGUAGCAGUGAAAUGCGUAGAGAUCGGAAGGAACAUCUGUGGCGAAGGCGACUAUCUGGGCCAACACUGACACUGAGACACGAAAGCGUGGGGAGCAAACAGGAUUAGAUACCCCGGUAGUCCCUGUCUCUUAAAA
rnacentral:rRNA from 1 species